GUCCUUGUAGCUUAAUCAAAGCAUGACACUGAAGAUGUCAAGAUGGCCGACAUAUUCACCCAAGGACA
rnacentral:tRNA from 1 species